AACGAACGCUGGCGGCAGGCUUAACACAUGCAAGUCGAGCGCCCUUUUCGGAGGGAGCGGCAGACGGGUGAGUAACGCGUGGGAAUCUACCCAUCUCUACGGAAUAACUCAGGGAAACUUGUGCUAAUACCGUAUACGCCCUUUUGGGGAAAGAUUUAUCGGAGAUGGAUGAGCCCGCGUUGGAUUAGCUAGUCGGUGGGGUAAGGGCCUACCAAGGCGACGAUCCAUAGCUGGUCUGAGAGGAUGAUCAGCCACACUGGGACUGAGACACGGCCCAG
rnacentral:rRNA from 1 species